rnacentral:rRNA from 1 species
UACGGGGGGGGCAAGCGUUGUUCGGAAUUACUGGGCGUAAAGGGCUCGUAGGUGGCCAACUAAGUCAGACGUGAAAUCCCUCGCUUAACCGGGGAACUGCGUCUGAUACUGGAUGGCUUGAGUUCGGGGAGAGGGGAUGCGGAAUUCCAGGUGUAGCGGUGAAAAUGCGUAGAUAUCUGGAGGAACACCGGUGGCGAAGGGGCGGCAUCCUGGACCCCGGUAUGACGCUGAG